rnacentral:rRNA from 1 species
CAGCCGCCGCGGGAAUACGAAGGGGGCUAGCGUUGCUCGGAAUUACUGGGCGUAAAGGGAGCGUAGGCGGACAUUUAAGUCAGGGGUGAAAUCCCAGAGCUCAACUCUGGAACUGCCUUUGAUACUGGGUGUCUUGAGUGUGAUAGAGGUAUGUGGAACUCCGAGUGUAGAGGUGAAAUUCGUAGAUAUUCGGAAGAACACCAGUGGCGAAGGCGACAUACUGGAUCAUUACUGACGCUGAGGCUCGAAAGCGUGGGGAGUAAACAGGAUUAGAUACCCCUGUAGUCCCUGUCUCUUAUAC